rnacentral:tRNA from 1 species
GCGGAAGUAGUUCAGUGGUAGAAUACAACCUUGCCAAGGUUGGGGUCGAUGGUUCGAGUCCAUUUAGGCCCACCA